UACGUAGGGACCGAGCGUUGUCCGGAUUCAUUGGGCGUAAAGAGCUCGUAGGCGGCUGUUCAAGUCGAACGUGAAAACUCGGAGCUCAACUCCGAGCCUGCGUUCGAGACUGGAUGGCUAGAGUCUGGUAGGGGGAUCUGGAAUUCCUGGUGUAGCGGUGGAAUGCGCAGAUAUCAGGAGGAACACCGGUGGCGAAGGCGGGAU
rnacentral:rRNA from 1 species